CAAUAGCGUAUAUUAAAGUUGUUGCAGUUAAAAAGCUCGUAGUUGGAUUUGUGGCGUACGGUGUGUUCCGGGCACUUGUUGUCUGAGUAACCUGCUGUUGCCAUCCUUGGGUGGAACCUGUGUGGCAUUAGGUUGUCGUGCAGGGGAUGCCCAUCAUUUACUGUGAAAAAAUUAUAGUGUUCAAAGCAGGCUUAUGCCGUUGAAUAUAUUAGCAUGGAAUAAUGAGAUAGGACUUUUUUGCUAUUUUGUUGGUUUGCGCAAAGAGGUAAUGAUUAAUAGGGACAGUUGGGGGUAUUCGUAUUCCAUUGUCAGAGGUGAAAUUCUUGGAUUUUUGGAAGACGAACUACUGCGAAAGCAUUUACCAAGGAUGUUUUCAUUAA
rnacentral:rRNA from 1 species